rnacentral:lncRNA from 1 species
GUUGCUUAAUUGAUUGAUCUGAGUAUCAAAGAUCCUUUUAGGAUCAUAGAUUUUAAACUGGAAAGGACUUUAGAGGCCACCUAACCCCUCCCCCCCAUUUUAUAGCUGAGGAAACUGAGGCCCAGAGAAAUUAAGAAUCCAAGGUCACAUAGGUCGUAAGUGUCAGAGGUGGGAUUUAAACUCAGGUCCUCUGACUCCAGUUCCGACACUCUCUUCAUUUCCUUUCUUUCUAGAGGACUAAUAGCAAAAUCGUGGAAGUAGAACCUUGGCAGGUGGCCCGUGAGAUUCCCAUUCAGAGAGUAGAAUGAGAUUCAGGACACCACUCUUGGCCCCCCCACUCUCCCCAGGACACUUCAAGAGCUUCCAAUCCAGGGCUUCCCCUGAGAACUAUGUGCACAAACAGUUUACUUUCUGAGUUUUAAAAAAAUACUUGAACAGACCUGCGACUUCACUGCUGCAUUUCAAGAAUUUCUCCAGUUCAACAGAGCUUCUGACUGACCACUUGUGGCCGAGUUAGCGUUGAGGGGCUGGGCACUUGCAGCUGAUGAGGAAGUUCCCUUAUUGGCUGAAAGCAUCUUGGUGCUGCCGCACAGUAUUGUGGGAAGACCCUGCUUGUGUGUCUUCAUCUGCUCUCAUGACAUCAGCAGGAGUGACUGCCAAAUAAAAGCGUUCUAGUCCCUGUGCAGUGUCUUUAAACCUUGUGUUGUUGUGUGAACCUGGACAGCCCGGAACUCCUCACCCAGCCCAAGUACCUGCCCACUCCAAUAAAAUGUAAACUAGGAUAUAUCCUCUUGGUGUG